UGUUUUUAGCCACAAUCAACUUUUCUUAUUUUAAAUCUCUAAUGCUCGGCCAGUUAGCUUUGGUAAUGAUUGCAGUUGUUAUCUGCUUUUUUCCAGAUAGACCUCAUCUGGAAUGGUUUCAGUUGUUUUUCAUUCAAGUCUUAUUUGCGAGGCUGGCGAGUUUUAUAAAGCUAUUACAGCUCUUUGGAAAUUUUGUGGGUUCCAGGAUGUCAACUUUUUUCAACCAGGACGUGUUUUCCCUUAAGCUUCUCUACACAGGCGCUGGUGCUACUUGGGAAGGAAGAAGAGGAAGGACUACAACAACCACAAAUAGUGGUGGCACUGCAUAGCUGAGACAACGAUGAAAGAACAAGUUGGAUUCUAUUCCCGCUCAAGUAAUGUAAGAAGAAUUGUGACCUAAACUCCGGUUGCAAACCCUUGACUAGUGG